CAUAGCCUAGAUCUCAGCCCUCCAAAACAAAUCUAACGGCUGAGAUUCGUCCACAUCAUCACGAUUUAAAAUUUAACUCUAGUAAAAUUUUAACUCCUGAAAUUUUACUCCCAGUAAAUUUUUUACUCCUACAAGUUAAAUUUUAACUCGUAAUGACGUGAACGAGUCUCAGCCGUUGGAUUUAUUUUGGAGGGUUGAGAUCUAUGCUAUA
rnacentral:pre_miRNA from 1 species